GUACCAUUAGCUCAGCCGGAUAGAGUGUUUGGCUACGAACCAAAAGGUCGGGGGUUCGAAUCCCUCAUGGUACGCCA
rnacentral:tRNA from 1 species